GCCCAUCCUUCGGGAUGUGGCAUUAAACAAACGCUUUAAUAUACAGAGAAGAUUAGCAUGGUCCCUGUGCAAGGAUGACACGCAUAAUCGAAGAGAAGCAAAAACUUUUU
rfam:Thalassiosira oceanica strain CCMP1005 To_g36998, whole genome shotgun sequence.